UCCUCAAUAGCUCAGUUCGGUAGAGCGACCGGCCGUUAACUGAUUGGUCGUAGGUUCGAAUCCUACUUGGGGAG
rfam:Triticum urartu cultivar G1812 contig202599, whole genome shotgun sequence.